UACGGAGGAUCCAAGCGUUAUCCGGAAUCAUUGGGUUUAAAGGGUGCGUAGGCGGCUUUUUAAGUCAGGGGUGAAAGACGGUGGCUCAACCAUCGCAGUGCCUUUGAUACUGAAGGGCUUGAAUGAACCUGAGGUAGGCGGAAUGUGACAAGUAGCGGUGAAAUGCAUAGAUAUGUCACAGAACACCAAUUGCGAAGGCAGCUUACUAAAGUUUAAUUGACGCUGAGGCACGAAAGCGUGGGGAUCAAACAGG
rnacentral:misc_RNA from 1 species